ACAUUUUAUGAAAGGAGAAAAUGUUAGCACUCCCCUUCACAUGGAUGCAAGAGGCCCCUGGGCCGAACAACAUGCGUAUGGUUGGCUAAGGCAUUGCCACCUACUUCAUGGCAUCUAACCAUCAUUUUGG
ensembl:snRNA